GGUUCCGUGGUGUAGCGGAUAUCACGUCUGCUUUACACGCAGAAGGUCGCCGGUUCGAUCCCGGUCGGAACCA
rfam:Habropoda laboriosa contig12119, whole genome shotgun sequence.